rnacentral:rRNA from 1 species
UGAACGCUGGCGGCGUGCCUAACACAUGCAAGUCGAACGAAGCUUGACGGAUGAUUUCUUCGGAAUGAAACCAGAUAUGACUUAGUGGCGGACGGGUGAGUAACACGUGAGCAACCUGCCUUUCAGAGGGGGAUAACGGCUGGAAACGGUCGCUAAUACCGCAUGAAGUGUUCGGAUGGCAUCAUCUGAACAUCAAAGAUUUAUCGCUGAAAGAUGGGCUCGCGUCUGAUUAGAUAGUUGGUGGGGUAACGGCCUACCAAGUCGACGAUCAGUAGCCGGACUGAGAGGUUGAACGGCCACAUUGGGACUGAGAUACGGCCCAGACUCCUACGGGAGGCAGCAGUGGGGAAUAUUGCACAAUGGGGGAAACCCUGAUGCAGCAACGCCGCGUGAAGGAUGACGGUUUUCGGAUUGUAAACUUCUUUUCUUAGUGACGAAGACAGUGACGGUAGCUAAGGAAUAAGCAUCGGCUAACUACGUG